UACGUAGGGUGCAAGCGUUGUCCGGAUUUAUUGGGCGUAAAGAGCUCGUAGGCGGCUUAGAAAGUCAGGUGUGAAAACUCUGGGCUCAACCCAGAGACGCCACUUGAUACUUCUAUGGCUUGAGUUCGGUAGGGGACCAUGGAAUUCCUGGUGUAGCGGUGAAAUGACGCAGAUAUCAGGAGGAACACCGAUGGCGAAGGCAGUGGUCUGGGCCGAUACUGACGCUGAGGAGCGAAAGCGUGGGGAGCGAACAGG
rnacentral:rRNA from 1 species